rnacentral:lncRNA from 1 species
GACCACUGACGUGACGUCAUACCUCGGUGAUGGAACAUACUCCACCUAUCGAGAAUUAUUUCGCGUUCGGUGAGUUUGACGUCGUACUCUUGGAAGGAGAGACGAAUGUUCAUCACUUGACUGGUGGCUGUAGGUGAAGUUGGUUGCUACCAUAGAAUAUUAGAAUGGCGGUUGGUUUUUUAUUUUAUAACAUCAGUGAAAAGAAAAAAAAUUACCACAAAUGGUUUUCUACAGUAGGGUGGCAUGUGGGUAGAACAACCCCUCUUGGAAUCGGAAUAGAAAUCACCGCCAUUUUCGAGUAACCACAUGGUGAACUCAUAGCCCUUUGACACCUAGGGAAACCACUACAGCCACAGUCAAGUCACCAUGGGAAUAUGUCGAUUUGGGAGCAAGCGAUGGGACAUUCCAGUCCCACUUUUGUCAUCUUUACACCGGUAUCUACGGGAAACAUGGUUCAGCACCUCCUCUGGUGCUAAUUUUAUGGGUUGCAGCAUCAGACUUCACCUUGAGGUCGUCCGAUGAAGGGAUUGGUUUGGGAACAUUUAGU